GAUUGAACGCUGGCGGCAGGCCUAACACAUGCAAGUCGAGCGGUAGAGAGAAGCUUGCUUCUCUUGAGAGCGGCGGACGGGUGAGUAAUGCCUAGGAAUCUGCCUGGUAGUGGGGGAUAACGUUCGGAAACGGACGCUAAUACCGCAUACGUCCUACGGGAGAAAGCAGGGGACCUUCGGGCCUUGCGCUAUCAGAUGAGCCUAGGUCGGAUUAGCUAGUUGGUGAGGUAAUGGCUCACCAAGGCGACGAUCCGUAACUGGUCUGAGAGGAUGAUCAGUCACACUGGAACUGAGACACGGUCCAGACUCCUACGGGAGGCAGCAGUGGGGAAUAUUGGACAAUGGGCGAAAGCCUGAUCCAGCCAUGCCGCGUGUGUGAAGAAGGUCUUCGGAUUGUAAAGCACUUUAAGUUGGGAGGAAGGGUUGUAGAUUAAUACUCUGCAAUUUUGACGUUACCGACAGAAUAAGCACCGGCUAACUCUGUGCCAGCAGCCGCGGUAAUACAGAGGGUGCAAGCGUUAAUCGGAAUUACUGGGCGUAAAGCGCGCGUAGGUGGUUUGUUAAGUUGGAUGUGAAAUCCCCGGGCUCAACCUGGGAACUGCAUUCAAAACUGACUGACUAGAGUAUGGUAGAGGGUGGUGGAAUUUCCUGUGUAGCGGUGA
rnacentral:rRNA from 1 species